rnacentral:lncRNA from 1 species
CUGGCUCAUCACCUCACCUAACAGUUAUUGGUGAUGGGUCAACCGAUGAGUGGACAACUCUUGUCCAAUGAUUCUCUAAUCAUGGUGCACCCAAAAUUUGGUCUCUAAUUUAUGAAGCUCAUCGUGUCCAGAAUAUUGCUCCAAUCCUUAGUUAAGUCAGACCCACCAUUUGCACGAACUAGAUUCCUGAUUAGGUCCCUC